rnacentral:rRNA from 1 species
ACAUGCAAGUCGAGGGGAAACGACAUCGAAAGCUUGCUUUUGAUGGGCGUCGACCGGCGCACGGGUGAGUAACGCGUAUCCAACCUGCCCACCACUUGGGGAUAACCUUGCGAAAGUAAGACUAAUACCCAAUGAUAUCUCUAGAAGACAUCUGAAAGAGAUUAAAGAUUUACCGGUGAUGGAUGGGGAUGCGUCUGAUUAGCUUGUUGGCGGGGUAACGGCCCACCAAGGCAACGAUCAGUAGGGGUUCUGAGAGGAAGGUCCCCCACAUUGGAACUGAGACACGGUCCAAACUCCUACGGGAGGCAGCAGUGAGGAAUAUUGGUCAAUGGACGAGAGUCUGAACCAGCCAAGUAGCGUGCAGGAUGACGGCCCUAUGGGUUGUAAACUGCUUUUAUAAGGGAAUAAAGUGAGUCUCGUGAGACUUUUUGCAUGUACCUUAUGAAUAAGGACCGGCUAAUUCCGUGCCAGCAGCCGCGGUAAUACGGAAGGUCCGGGCGUUAUCCGGAUUUAUUGGGUUUAAAGGGAGCGUAGGCCGGAGAUUAAGCGUGUUGUGAAAUGUAGAUGCUCAACAUCUGCACUGCAGCGCGAACUGGUUUCCUUGAGUACGCACAAAGUGGGCGGAAUUCGUGGUGUAGCGGUGAAAUGCUUAGAUAUCACGAAGAACUCCGAUUGCGAAGGCAGCUCACUGGAGCGCAACUGACGCUGAAGCUCGAAAGUGCGGGUAUCGAACAGGAUUAGAUACCCUGGUAGUCCGCACGGUAAACGAUGGAUGCCCGCUGUUGGUCUGAAUAGGUCAGCGGCCAAGCGAAAGCAUUAAGCAUCCCACCUGGGGAGUACGCCGGCAACGGUGAAACUCAAAGGAAUUGACGGGGGCCCGCACAAGCGGAGGAACAUGUGGUUUAAUUCGAUGAUACGCGAGGAACCUUACCCGGGCUUGAA